GGGCCCGUAGCUUAGCGGUAAAGCAGCAGGCUUUUAACCUGUUGAUGAAGGUUCGACUCCUUCCGGGCUCACCA
rnacentral:tRNA from 1 species